rnacentral:rRNA from 1 species
GGAAUUGUUCACAAUGGGCGCAAGCCUGAUGACGCAACGCCGCGUGGGGGAUGAAGGCCUUCGGGUUGUAAACCCCUUUCAGGAGGGAAGAAAUUGACGGUACCUCCAGAAGAAGGACCGGCCAACUACGUGCCAGCAGCCGCGGUAAUACGUAGGGUCCGAGCGUUAUCCGGAAUCAUUGGGCGUAAAGAGCUCGUAGGCGGUUCAGCAAGUCGGCUGUGAAAGUCCGAGGCUCAACCUCGGAAUUGCAGUCGAUACUGCUGUGACUCGAGUCCGGUAGAGGAGAAUGGAAUUCCCGGUGUAGCGGUGAAAUGCGCAGAUAUCGGGAGGAACACCAGUAGCGAAGGCGGUUCUCUGGGCCGGCACUGACGCUGAGGAGCGAAAGCGUGGGGAGCAAAC